rnacentral:rRNA from 1 species
UACGUAGGGGGCAAGCGUUAUCCGGAAUUACUGGGUGUAAAGGGUGAGUAGGCGGUAUUAUAAGUCAUAUGUGAAAUAUUGGGGCUCAACCCCAAGGGUGCAUAAGAAACUGUAGUACUAGAGUGCAGGAGAGGUAAGCGGAAUUCCUAGUGUAGCGGUGAAAUGCGUAGAUAUUAGGAAGAACACCAGUGGCGAAGGCGGCUUACUGGACUGUAACUGACGCUGAGACACGAAAGCGUGGGGAGCAAACAGG